rnacentral:rRNA from 1 species
UACGAAAGGGGGGCUAGCGUUGUUCGGAAUCACUGGGCGUAAAGGGCGCGUAGGCGGCCGAUCAAGUCGGGGGUGAAAGCCUGUGGCUCAACCACAGAAUUGCCUUCGAUACUGUUUGGCUUGAGACCGGAAGAGGUAAGUGGAACUGCGAGUGUAGAGGUGAAAUUCGUAGAUAUUCGCAAGAACACCAGUGGCGAAGGCGG